rnacentral:rRNA from 1 species
UACGAAGGGAGCUAGCGUUGUUCGGAAUUACUGGGCGUAAAGCGCACGUAGGCGGGCUCUUAAGUCAGGGGUGAAAUCCCGAGGCUCAACCUCGGAACGGCCUUUGAUACUGGCAGGCUUGAGGUCGGUAGAGGCGAGUGGAAUGCCUAGUGUAGAGGUGAAAUUCGUAGAUAUUAGCCGGAACACCAGUGGCGAAGGCGACUGGCUGGACCGUUACUGACGCUGAGGUGCGAAAGCGUGGGGAGCAAACAGG